rnacentral:lncRNA from 1 species
AGGGUGGGAAAAUGAAGUAGCUUGUUCAUUGAUGUGUAGCCGAGUCUUUUGUGCCAAAGUUGUAGGGUGUGGCUAGUGCAUGACUUUUCUGGUUCUAUGUCUUUGCUCAGGGUGUACAGGUCUCCCUUUAUUCUACCCUUCUUUAAUUUUCUGUUAGUCAUCAAAUCCUGCACACACAAAAAUGGUUUGGAUAGAAAGAAACGUAGAUAUCUGAGACUUGAGUCAAUUUUCUGACAGAGAUCAAGUUACACGCAAAUUUUAGUAUGUAAAGAGCAUCAUGUAGGGUCAGGUCAUUGUAUAGUUUUAUGGUACCUUUAUAUGUUGAAUACCCUCAGGGUUCCAUAGGAUAAAGAGACAGAUACUAUGGGUUCUAAUUUAGUGAUUUUAGUGAGCAAGCUAAAAUCAUGACAUAUGUUUGAUGUUGCACCUAUAUCGAUUAUCCAUGUACUUAUAUCAGUCGAGGUGUGUAAAAAGUAGCAGUUAGACUGUUUACCUGCAGCGCCAGAGUAGCCCACGCAUUCUGCCGAUUCCAUUGUGCUUCCUCCAUAACUUUUCAUGUAUUUGCUGAUUUCCUACUGCAUAAUGUUAGUCAUUUUUGCAUUCCAACUUGUUGUGAUCGUCGUUUCCCCUUUAAUGUCAGUGGGAUUUCCAUUUGAAACAGCAUUUACUUUUUCUUUUCCUUUUUUCCCUUUGAGUUCUGUGAACCAUUCGGGAUAGUCGUGGAGUUUGAAGCAUGUGUCUCUAGUGUGUCCUGUAUUCCUGCAAUGAGUGCAUAUUUUGUUGUCUUUAUCCCUUCUUCGGUUCUGUGGCUUCAGAGUUUCUUUCUGGUUGGCAUAAAAAACGGUUGGCAUCCCCUCGGAUGCAUU